rnacentral:lncRNA from 1 species
UUAUCAACAUAUUUCAUUAUUAUGUUGUUAUUGUUUAUGUGUUGAUGCGGCACCUAUGAGGCGUGCAUGUUGUUUUUAAUGAAUAUAUUGAGAUAUAUUCAUUUGGGAAGAAAUAACAUAUUUUUGAAAAUUUAUGAAAAUAUGUGAUGUGAUGGGAAUGUGAUCGAACAUGUAAAACUAGACAUGUAAUAUGGGUUGGACUAACCUUGUCAUGAGAUAGCGGCCACGACGUAGCUGAUGCGUGGGAUAGCCUACACGGGCUUACGGAUAGCGGCCACGAGCUGAUGCGUGGGAUAGCCUCCACGGGCUUACGCGUGGGAUAGCCUCCACGGGCUUACGGAUAGCGGCCACGAGCUGAUGCGUGGGAUAGCCUCCACGGGCUUACG